rnacentral:lncRNA from 1 species
GGUAGACAGACAGCAAUCCACCUAUACACGUCUAUAUUGGAAACGGCACUAAGCGUGUUGCCGAUAUAUCUGUACAUUUGGUUUAAAAUGCUUUAGUCAUUUCAAACUCGUUUCUGCAUCAUAGAGUUUAGGUGUGCGGUCGCAAAGGCAUUGAAAAGACAACUGGUCAUUUAUAUGGGGAAUUUCCCCCUCUUGAGUGCAAGCUUCAAUAAAUCAGGGCCAGGAAGCUAAUGAUCUGAGGCUUAAAAAGUUGAUCUCCCGUAAUUUGCGAACUGCACAAAUGACGAGAGGGGGAAGAGGAGCGAAAGAUAAGGCAGAAAAGAAAGCCGCCAGCUACAUGAAAGCUUAGCCUCUAAAGUUUCAAAGGUGGCCACAGUGCGAAAUGUUAGGGAAAUGGCAUUCGGGGUACACUCGGUUCAGCGACGUGUAAUACAAGUUCGUUCUGAGACAAAGAAAUAGAAUAAUGACGCCCAAAUCUGAUGCCAUGCACACACACUACUGCAUUACACUGUAGCUGACAUUGCACACUUCAAGUUUAAAAAACAAAACAAAAACAACAGCAUUUUUUUACCAGGCAGUCUAAAAACAAAAAUCAAAAGAAUACAUAUGUUGCUUGUUUUUAUUACAUCAUAAUAGUUUUAAUUUUGUACCUGAGGAACUACAAAGACUCCUAGUAAAGCUCUCAACUUUUUUUAGUUAAUGACUAACAGUAGUAGUAAAAUUUUGUCCUAAUGUUUUACAAUCUCAAAGCUAUGUUUCUAGUUACUGUGUUCUUGAACCUUUUUUACAUGAAGGAAAAUAUUUGUAAGGGUACUUACAAAGAUAAUACACAACACCUAUGUUUUAAUUAAAUAAUAAUACAAAUGUACAGAAUAAAAUGAAAUUAAUGGUAAGCAUGUGUCUGUGCACAUAUAUAUAAUAUGACUUGAAGGGAUACAGAUAAGGUGGGCUGGCUUUAAUAAAGCUGUUGGCUGCACCCUGAUAGAUGAGGCACAUUCAAAACAAUAUUCUGUACAAUUCUAGUUUUAGCUCCCAAAUCGACAUAAUAAGCUGAAUUGUACAUAUCCUUACAUCCAUGCAGUUCUUGUCAGAAUAGAUCUCUACUGUUUUAAUGCAUAUAUAAUACAGCUGUUUUCACUGCAAAGACAAAAGCAGUGGAAGCCCAAAUGUGGAAUUUGUGUGAUCUCCAUAAAGAGGUAAAAAUCCUUUGUGAGAAAGGCUGAAGGAUGGCGUCAAAUGAAAUUUCUUCCAUCAGCUUUUUCACACAUAGUUUUCUGUAGUUGCAGAAAAUAUAACUGGAUAAAGACUGGUGCAAUGUUACAAAGUUUUGUUUGUACCCUCCCCUUAGGUUUAAGAGCCUGUUCUUAAAGUUUAUAAAACCUGAAGCCUGCCUCUCUCUCUCUCACGCACACAUUUUUUAUCCUCACCAUUAAUUUGAAUUUCUAAAUUAACUUAUUUUUAAAAUGUUUGGUAUGCCAGACAAAAGUCAUUUCUUAAAACAUUUAGGGAAGCAAGGCCACCUCAUCAACACAUCAAGUUCAUUCAAACAUGGCUUGCAAAUGGCCAAACAUAAAUCACAAGCCACAUUAAAAUUAAAGACGUGCAAAACCAACGAAGACCAUGAAAACCUUGCACGUAAACAGUUUAAUUACUGAACAGAUAACUGGUAUCCAACAAUAAACGGAGUGAAAAAAAAAUCAUAUCACAGUGUGGAGUAUAUGAAUGUAAUGGUUGUUUAUAUACAAAACUGAUGAGACUGCACUGGAAAUGGAAAAAUGUUUUGGAGACAUUACAGAAAUAUUGCAGUGGUAACAGCUUUCAACUGAGUUUGUUUUACAGCUCUAAGUUGUGUGCGUACACAGAAAUUACCAGUUUAAAAAUGUUGACUUAGAGCUAUGGUUUGUUCAAAUACAAACCAUUAGUAGUAAGAAAGCGGCACAACAUUUGACAUCAGUUGUUGAUAAUGAAGUGUAAUAUUUAGGUAACUGAACAACUUUAGCAUAGGGAUAAAUAUUGUACAUAUUUUGUCCUGCAAAAUACAUGGUCUAUGGAACUAAGCUGCUGUCAGUGAUUUUUAUGCAGUGUUAGUCUCUUGCUUGUUGACGUUAUAAACCAAGUACGAGAUUAAAUGCAAUAUCCCCCUCCUCCCUGAAUAUCGUGUAUAAAUUUGUAUGGAAUAUUGCCCCUUAUGCCUCUAAUAGAACAAUUCAUUACUGAAAUAAACACACAAAUGGAGAUGUUAAUGGUGUCUGAAUUAUGGCAGAUAUCACCUUUCAGUUGCAACCCAGCAGCAGGAUAGUGUAACAGCUUAUUAACGACUGAUUCUUACUAAAGGUAUGCAGUGGUUUAAAGUGAUGCAAGUGACUUGAAUGAGAUGAAGUUAUGCAUGGAUACAAUAAUAUACAUAUAAAAAGUAUCAUAACAUCUUUUGGACUAGUCACAAUGCAUAAUGUAACAGUUUCCAAUGCUGAAUGUAGUUGAUACAUUGGACAUAGCACCUGUCACAUUUAUUAACUCCAGAAACCUGUAAGCAGCAUGGUAAACAAUCCCUUGUUUAUGUGAGAACGUGUUGCAACAUUCACAUGAAUGUGGUGGUGGAGUGUGCUAAAAUGUUUGUUUUAAAAAUAGGAAAUUAAAAUAAUAGUAAUUCCCCUUUAUGUCUUCUAUGUGUCUUUUAUUGUGAGCAUAGUUGUUUCUCUGUCUCCUACUUGUCUUAAGCACUGAGAGCGUGUUCUUUUGUGAGCAGGAAUAUGUACUAUAAAUCACAUGUUUAUUAUUACUAUAACAUUUUCAAAACAAACAUUUUACAUUAACCGAAAGAAGGAAAAAAUAUGGAUAAUUCCCAGAGAACCACAAAAAAAAAAAAUUCCUGGUCCUAAAAUCAACAUCCAAAUACAAAAAUAAAUGAUUCAUACACUUACAAAAUAUUUUCUCUGACUUAAAGAACCACUCAAAACGUCGAUUUAAAAAAAAAACACAAAUCAGAUCUUUCUACUUUUCCAAGCUAAAUAUUUUUGAAGGCUAUCUGAAAAAAAAAAAUGAUACAAAUGUUGAAAAAUAUAGCUCUUAUAAAAGUAUUCUUGUCUUUCCUCUAACAUACCCAUAUGAAACACAUAACUGCAUCCCAAUUUUAAAUCGCACGUCUGGAACGUCCCACUAAAAUAUUCUCCAAAAUAGAUGAAAACAUUGACACUGUUACACAGCAAGAAUGAUGCCUGUCUACUGUUCAAGGCAGUAUAAACUUGGGAAGUCAUUUAUAAAAGAGGGCCACGAAUAACGAUCCAUUUUAAACAUGCCAAUUUCCAACACUUUGAAAACAAAAAUUUCAAGACCAAGGCUGCAGAUGGUAUUAAACUUUUGGAGGCUAAACCACAAAAAGAAAUCAACAGUGUGCUACAGCACAGAUUAUCAUAAGAAUGUGUAUGAAAACUACUGAUGAAGGCUAAUAAGAAAUAUCCUUUUUAAUCAGUCUGAUUUUCAAAUUUUCUUCCUUUGUAAAACAGCUUUUAUUGGGAUUUGUCAUGAACUAUUUUGUAAAAUCUUAAAUCUAAUUUUCAAAAUAAACUGGCAAAUGGAGCACAAAAAAAAAAAAAAAAAAAA